AGUGUGGCCGGAAGACGACUCGGGGCUGCUGCUGCUCUCGGGGCGCCGCCGCCGCUCUUUCUCCUCUGCUGCCGCCGCCGUCUCCCGGCAGCCGCCGCCGCCGCCGCUGUCCGAACUUGAAGUUGCCGGCGCGCCCGUUGCAGCCGCCGCCGCCGCCGCGGAGGUCGCCGUGGCCGCCGGGGGCCCCUUCUCGGCGCUCUUGUCCCCGGGGUAGUCGGAGGAGGCGAGGUUUUCCGGGGUGCCGUAGGCUGUCUCGAAAAACUGGUCGAAAGCCUGUGGCAGGACGCCGUUCCUGCCCACGGUGCUAUAGAAAUUGGACGAGACUGCGGGGGUGGGGUGGUGGUAGACGUUGGCCGAGCUCUUGGCCAGCACGUCGCCAGGCACGCCGGCCGCGCUGGGCGCCUGCAGGCAGUCUCUGUGCACGAGCUCCUCCGCGGAGUAGCAGUGGGCCAGAUUGCCGCGGGGGUGCCAUUUAGUGGCGGGCUCAAUGGCGUACUCUCUGAAGGUCACUUCGCGCACGGGUUGGACCUGGGGCAGGUUGGAGGAGUAGGAGUAUGUCAUUGGGCGCGAAGACGGGGUCUGGGGCAGAAAAGAAGGGAGGCUGGAGAAAUCUGGACCCGAGACGUAGUAAGUACAACUUGGCAAAUACAUGUUAGAGGAGCAGGGACCACGCUCAUCAAAAUCCAUUAUUGGGCUACCUUGGGCUCUCCGCAGUAGCCGAGCUUAACAUGAUUCUCCACUGCAGCUGCCUCUUUGAAGCGGAUCCGUGAAGUAGAAAUUUGGAGACGUAAGCUGACGUGGAAAUCUAUCCCCAUCCUUAGCAGGGAGGUGCUGGUCAUGUGACCCGAUGUUGAAAUUGACAAGCUGCUAGCUAGUCCGGGCCUUUUCCCCCCCCCUUUCCUUUUUUUUUUUUCCUCCUCUCCCCUCCCUCCCGGCUUCCUUUCUUUGUAGCCACCUCAGGGGAAGCAACAGAUCGUCACUCGGUGUUCUCACCGAAAGCACGUAAUCGCCGGUGUAACUCAUGUUGGCUGGGGGGCCUCCCGGCGCGCGCGGAGAGGCUGGGGUGCGCCCCCAUGCAGCAUGCUUGUGCUCAAUUGCAGGGUCCUCGUUCUCGAGUGUGCAGAGGGCGGUGAGAGCUCAACUCUCGUCCCCACCUCCCACCCGCAGCUCCCCGGGUGGGUGAGGGAUGCCCUGGACUGGGGAUAGCCAGGUGGGAGUCCGUCGCUGUGUGGCCUGUGGUCUCGGAGUCUGUUCUCCUGGAGUCUCGCAUUUGCACCCCCUUCUUCGCAGUCCCCCUCCCAUAGACUUGCUCUGGGAAGCGCCUCUGCCUCCGACCCUAGCCGGAACCCCUUCGGGGCCAGAGUUUGAAGCCGUGGAUGUGCCUGCCUGGUGGCUUGUCCGAUUUGCACGGUGACUUGAUUACACUCUCUCAUUCAUGGUCACUUCCGAAGCGCUUUAGUGCCUUCCGUCCCUAAACCGCCAACAGCCAGAACGGCUUCUCCCCGCGGUUUGUCACUGAUCCGCAGGGCCCGGAAGGGCCUUCGUCUUACCCGGGAUCCACCUCUCCCCUCAUCUUCCCUGCCUACCUCUUCAUCCCACCUUCUGUCCUUGGAGAAACUCCCUCCUCCUCGCUGCCUGCCGGGCUUCGGAGUGACUCGGCAGAGACAGAGGCACAGGGGCUGCCCUGCUGCUCACCGGUCCACCCAUCUGCCUGGUCUUCUGGAGCUGAGGACUCGGGAAACCAUGCAAUUGAGGCAAGCCUUGGGCUGCUUUAGAGGCGCUGACAUCCGAGGAGACUUCUCCUGGGUAUGCUGCAUCUUCGUGGGGGGCCCAUCAGGCUGCUUACAGAGCUCCAGGGGUGUGGGGAGAAUGGAGGUGGAAAGGACGGGCUGAGGGCCAAGGAGAGGUGGCUGAGAAAGGGGUAACCCACCUACUCUCCUACUCUCCUUCCUUGCAAUGUGUGAGAGUGAAAGCAAGGGAUGUGCAGGGCAAAAACUCAGAGAGCUCUGUGCCUUUCCUACUGCUCAUUCCACAGGAGGAAUACAAUACCAGAGAAAGGAGAGGUGCUUCCCGAACUCCCUGCACCUGGGGAAACAGGGAUGUCUUUAAAAAGCUAGGUUUGUGCUAAGGAUAGAGAGAGGCCAUAGCAAUACUCUGAGUCUAGCUUUCUUGAGAAGAGGAAAAAAAAUAAAUUAAGAAGGCAAAAUAUGCUCCCCAUCCUGCAGGAUUGAAGGAGCAAUGUUUGGAGGAAGCGAAAGAAAGGAGAGGACACAGAGCACAGAGCAGCCAGGCAGAGCCAGGAGCUGAGAAGGGCCCAGACCUGAGGCCUCCCAACAACUCUCUUCUUGGAAGGAUCUGGGAUGUUGCUGAAGGAAAAUAAAAAAAUAUGUAAAAAGAUAACCUUUUGUUUUUCCCUCUCCAGGAAAUAGCCAAAGUUAUUUACAUAUCUUGGGGAGAUUUAGAGUAUAAACUCUAAGAUCUUUGGUAUUUAAGUGUCAACAUCGAUUUAUUUAUUUAUUGCUGAGCUGACUGUAACUGACUCAAUAACAAAUCUAAUCGUGUAUUGCACUGGAAAAGAAAUAUUCUUAUUAUGUAUUUUCUCCAAAUAAUGGCCUACCAUUGCAUUUGAAUACCUGCUGUAAAUAUCAAUAAUAUGAAGUAAUUACUCUGUAGUCGAGUAAACUAAUUUAUUAGCAUUAAUGUUUAUGUGGCUCUCCACCUCCCCCCACCACCACCUUUACAAGGAUUGCUUAUCACAAAUCAAGCUACUUGGACACAUUGGUUUAAUGAACUCUUUAUUCAAGAUUUGCUACAAGAAUUUUCAUGUCCUUUGAAUCCCUGAGAACUGAACUUGAAAUUAUUUGUGCAUCUUCAGCUUGACAUAUUUGUCCACUGUGGCUUGUCCAGAGGGCAGCAGUGCUGUGAGUGAGAAGGUCCAGUGGGAAGGAAGGUUAUUGGAGAAGAGUAGCCUCAGACCUCCUAAAGCUGGGAAGCACAUUUACAGAAUUGCCCUGCAGCGAAAAAACUUCUAUUUCCAGCAGUGACCAACAAGGCAAAAUGUUUGUUUCUCCACAGCAUCUCUUUUUUAGAGACAGAAUAUAAAAGACAGAAGGAGAGGUUUCAAACAGCGGUAUUCGAGCUGUUCCCUGGCUUGAUUUUGGCUAUCCCAAGCUCUCUCUCUGCAGCCCACCCAGUCCACGCCACCCCUACCUUCGAACAAAAGGAAUGCAUGAAGGGUUUCAGUGACUUUGCCAUAACAAAGGCGCCACCAUUGCGGGGCUCGCCCCGCCCCUGGGUGAAGGCAAACAAAUUCUUGCACUUGUAUUAGGGCUUUUAAGACCAUAAUUGAACCCGGGGGCGUCUAGGAAAACCGAAAACAGUUCUAGACAGACCUGCGGUUUUAUAGCAGUUUUGGCAGUCAACUUCAGCUUGUGCCUGAGCAGACGGGGUUGUGGUGGCCCGCCAGCGGGGGAUGCCAGGCCACCUCCCCCAGCGGCACGCAGCCCCUCUCUUAAUUAGAUCGGUUUUCCCCUGGUGUCCGGGAGAGCGGUCCCGGCAGAAAGGUCGGUAUGGGGGUGUGCGCUGUUCCGCAUAACCACUGCCUCCCAUGUCCUCCUCGAGGGCCGAACCGAGAGGGUGCUGGCAGGGCUGGAUCCCACGGGUGUCCGCAGGAGACAAAGGCGAAUUCCGGAGAAAAGGCUGGGGCUGAGAAAGGCGCUCCGGGAGCGGCUGGCAGGGCAAUUCGGCAGGCUGCACCGAAGCCGAGUGCCCGGAGGGACUUGCCGCCCGGAAGGGGGUGUGUGGGGGCGCUGCCGUGAAGAUGGAUGAGGGAAAAGGUUUUUGAUAUCAGCAGAAGGGAAAACGCCUGGAGUGGCCGAACACUUUUAGUUGCCCAGCAGGAAUAGGAGACGGGUACUCAGCUCCCCAAGGCUGCGCAAUAUCCCAGCUUUGCCCGCUCCUGCCCUCGUGUUCGGAAUAUGCUGGCGGUGUGAAUGUGAAGGUUUCUCCAGGCAGGCGGCUGGGGCGAGGGGUGGGCGCAGCUCUGAGGAUCAGACCAAAUCUAGGGGAAAAAGGGGAGGCAGACCUUCGGGUCCUUGGUUUUGACUUUGCUCUGAGCCUAUGAUUGACUCUUCCGCUUUGCAGGAGGUCCAACAGCCGAGCUUAGCCCACCGGGCUCUGGGAAAGACCCGACUGAGGCUAAAGCCGCCCCGGAAGGCCAAGUCCGAGUUCCAUUUCUUGAAGAGGCCGGCGCGCGUAAGGCUGUGACAUUGGCCCUGGCGACUGGCUUCCCAGGAGCUGUUCUUUCUCAGGAGCUCCACAGCGCGGGCCAUCUCCAGAAAACUGUCUUCAGAGUGUAUUUCCUUUUAUCGUCAACCCAGAGCCCCACCGCGGCUAAUGCAAGAGGCCAAAAAAUGUUUGGAGGAAGAAAAACAAAGGCAGGAAGUGGCGGCGGCCUGACGGUGCGUGUGUGUCUGCAGAGAAGGGAGGGAGCCGGCUCAGUCUCUUCUUGUUUUUCCAAACUUCAAGGUCCAGGCAGCCCUCUGCAGGGCCGGGCCCCAUUGCUCCCCGCGCGGCAUUGGAGGUGGCCGCCCGGAGAGGAGAAGGCCAACGCCUGCGCCAGGCUUGUCAGGCGGAAACGGCUAACAAGGAGAUUUGGUCAGCAAAACAGACCCAGCCUUUCCGAGGCUUCGUCUGACUUGGCCCGAAAGGUUGGGGAGGGGGGGCUUGCGCAGAGCCUCAGGGACCCUCCUCUCUGGGGACUACCAUCCCUGAGCCUUACGCUUCUUUCCACAGCCUUUGCAGGCGGAAUAUCGGAAUAAAGUGGGUCCAGGCGCCUCUGCCGCCUCCGCUUCUUCUUGCAGCCUGAAUGGUCCGGGAGGCAGCGGGAGGGCGCCGGCGGGCAGUGCCCAGGCGGGGUCGCCUCGAGGCCGUCGGUGAGCACCGGGCAAUGCGAGGCCUUGUUACCGAGGUUGUUGUGCUGGGGGCGUUUCCAGCACAGUCAUUCAAGGGACGUGAGCUGCAAGGAUCGUCACUUGACAGGCGGCUUAACACCCUCUCACUCCAAGGGAGGAUACAGCUGGGUGGCCGGGAGCACCUCCACACUCCAGGCUUCCCAGCUCCAACUGGCAAAGCUGCUGGGCCACCCUCUUCUCUCCCUGGGGCUGGCUUGGGAGGCAGCAGCUGCUCCUUGUCCCAGAAAUCUGAGAAUUCGAAGUCCCCAGUACUUGCACAUGCAGCCCUUUAAAUGCCCAGCAUUUGUCCACAGUCUCAAUGUCAAUGCCAAGCUGCCCCAGUCACCACUGUCCUUCUCAAGGGGGUCCUGUCCCUCUACAGUUCCUGAUCCUGCUCCUGUCCCCCCUACAGUUCCUGUCUCCUGCCCUGCCUCCUUCCAGCCAUUCUCACCUGCUGGGACCUCCUGUCUCUUCCCUACCUCUUUUGAUGCCUCUGCUAGACUGAGCAACAGCUGAGGUGCCACUGGAGGGCAUCCAAUACUCAGGCGCAGAGAAGAGGGGCUGUUAGGUCCCUGACUCUCCCCCAACUUCGGGCUUCCACCAGAGCCUGAACUGAGUCUCCCACCUCCUUCUUAGGAAUACUCCACCUCAAGGCCCCACCAAGUCUGGCUUAUCUCCCUUCCUCUCCCCUCCCUUCUCUACCCUCCUUUCUUCCCCAACACUUCCUCCUUCUCUUCUGCGGACCCAGCUGCUGCUUUUCUAGGCUGGGCAACCCAGAUGGGAUAGGCCUGGGAGGGGUCAGGACCCACUUGACAGACUGAAUCUCACUCCCAGAUGGCUACAGUUAAGUUUCUCUCUUGGUGGAUUGCUUAGGGCACCAUCAUUAUUUUGCCUCCUCCUGCUUGCCUAAUCCCUUACUUUCCUCUGUCCACAAAUGUCACACUGUUUCUAGAAAGCUACACAGAAGAGUAUUUCAACCCUGGUGACCAUACUGCACACAGGUGCAAGAACUGGCCCGGAGGCCCCGGGUAGAAAUGGCAACAGAGCUCUUCUCCAUUACAGGAAUAUCUCCUUCCAAAUCAAAGGGUUCCUGUGGGCACAUCUGUCUUAUGUGGUGAGCUAGGGGAGAUGGGUUGUCUGGGAAGGCCCAGGAGAUCUCCACGUAUUUGUUCUCAGGGCAUGGCUUAUUGCCAGAUCAUAGACAAUCCAUCACAUUUUCCAGGCGCUGCCCAGAGGCAGCACUGAAGCUUCAAUUAAAAAAUCAAGAGAUCACCUCUAUCACUACCAGGUGGAGGCAGGGGUUAAUUUGUCCCUUUGUUGAGACACCUCACCCUCCCCGAAGGUCCCCAACACUUCCUAAAAGCUCAGAAACAGGUAAUGCCCUGAAGUGGACCUCAUAAUUCUGCUUGGUCUGACUGGCAGUUUCAGUCAUCCUUCAAAGCCCCUAAAUAUCUGAAAAGGCCCAUACCCUUCCCCUGGCCACUGCAGAGUGGGGCACAGGGCUCAGCUGAGGGUCUCAAGUACCUAAGCAAUCUAGUUAUCAUUUACUUUAGUGGAUCCCAAACUGAAGGGAGAAGAGAAGAUUACUUCCUUUAAUAACUAUUUUUAUUUUUAUUGUUGCCAAUUAUUAGACUUCUUUUUCCUAUAGCAUGGGAACAAAUGGGGUGGGGGAGACUUUGAAGGGCGAAGCCCUAGUUCUCAGUGUCUGCCUUCCAUUCCCCAUGCAGCUUUGGCCCAAACAGGUUUCCCAGCAGAGUGUGUCUGAGAUAAAGAAGACAAAAGGGGGUGGCCCAACCCGAAGGUUGGCUCUGGUCCUUGGGUCUCGGUCUCUACAGCCGUAGCUCACAGGAAGCCCCCACGCCACAAAGCUCCAACUGCUUCCUAGGGCAGCUCCAUUUCCACUCAGUGCUCAUGUUGGCUCACAUUCCAGGCUUGAGAAGAGCCAUCACCCCAUCCAGCCCUCCUCCCCUACACACCCUUCCAGGCAGUUCUGCGAUGGGACCCAUUCACAGAUCAUUGUUUCUGCUAUAUAUGCCCCCACAGCCCAGCCCAGCCCAUCCACGCAGCCCUAGGGGUACAAUCCAGAUUUUUGGCUUCCGCGAAAAGAAAUCCUUUGCAUGUCCUCUUUGGUUCACCUGGAGAGAUAGGCUCAGCGGCAGAUCACGCUUAAGCUAACGUUUACCGCAGGGCCUGAUGCUCUGAUCUGCUGGAGGCAGGCUAUAGGCAGGGGGUAAGGGGCUCUCUCCCUCGCAGAGCGCAGUGAAGGAUUCUUGGGGGCUGGGAGUCAGGAGUUUUUACCUUGGAAGAGUGCGCCUCACAUCUGUGUGGAUUUUAGGCAGGAGAAGAGCAUCAAGGGUCUCACCAAAGGCUUGCCACUCACUGAGGGAGAGGCCUGGAUUCUGGGACCCCAGGAGAGUCUCUCCAGCAGGGUCUUGGCUCCCCUAUCCUCUUCCCUGCCAAGUCGGCCCUAUGUUCCUACCAGGACCCAGAACUCCGAUCCAGCCACGUCCUUUCCCCUGGGCUUGCAGGCGCUCCCUCUCGCCCCCGCUAGGCCUUAGCGGGCUCCGAAGUCUGCUGGACUGGGGCAAACCCCGCUCUUCUGGGACGGGGACACGGCCUGGGCCACCCGUGGCUGCCGGGACUCCUUUCCAACAGGGCUGGGGAUGGGAGAGUUGGAAAUCAAGAAAGAACCUCUGCCUCCAGUGCACGAGCCCAGAGCCCAGGCUACCAGAACCCGCUUGCAGCAAGGUAACUGUGCGUCCUGUGCCUUCUUGAGGCGGCGGCAGCGAUCGGCCCUGACCAUAGAGGCGGCCGUGGCGCGGAGGACUUGACCUUUACGGCACGAGAGGAGGGCGCUGGCUGAGCCGCAGGGAGGGGGACGCUGCUCUCUCCAGCCUCCUCCACCCAAUAGCAGUCCGCUCGACCCACGCCAGCUGCGCGCUCACCCCCUUUCCCCCUCCAUUUUGUGCAGUGUCCGCAGACCCGCGGCCGGAAACAAAGCCCCCAGCCCUGCUCUCACCACCCUUCUUGCAAGCUGCUGUCGCCAACCCCCCAGACCAGAGGCUCAGAGCUAACGCUAAGCCCCUUAAGGCCCUCUCCAGGGCCCUCUUCUCUCGCCAGCCGCCCUCAGCCAGCUCCUGACCCCAGCCGCCCUCAGCCAGCUCCUGGGUACCACUCUGGGUGCCAACCGGGACCUGCCGGUGCCACGGUCCCGUGCGCCGGGUCCCGGCC
rnacentral:lncRNA from 1 species